ACGUGAUAGGGAACCCCGAGUGCCUGUAUAUGCAGGCUGUCCAGGUGUCUAAAAAACACCUGAAGAAAGGGCCGGGCAAGACCGGUGCCAGCCGCCGCGGUAAUACCGGCGGCUCGAGUGGUGGCCACUUUUAUUGGGCUUAAAGCGUCCGUAGCUGGGUUGUUAAGUCUCUUGGGAAAUCUGACGGCUUAACCGUCAGGCGUCUAAGGGAUACUGGCAAUCUUGGAACCGGGAGAGGUGAGGGGUACUUCGGGGGUAGGAGUGAAAUCCUGUAAUCCUCGAGGGACCACCUGUGGCGAAGGCGCCUCACCAGAACGGCUUCGACAGUGAGGGACGAAAGCUGGGGGAGCAAACCGGAUUAGAUACCCGGGUAGUCCCAGCCGUAAACGAUGCGCGUUAGGUGUAUCGGUGACCACGAGUCACCGAGGUGCCGAAGGGAAACUGUGAAACGUGCCGCCUGGGAAGUACGGUCGCAAGGCUGAACUUAAAGG
rnacentral:rRNA from 1 species